UAGCAUAUUAAUGAGGGAAGGAAAAGAAAUUAACAAAGAUUCCUUUAGUAGCGGCGAGCGAAACAGGAAAAGCCCAUCACUAAGCCCUCUGGUCGUUCUGGCUAGCAGGGGAUGCAGUGUAUGGAAAGUCUAUUAUCUUAUGCGACGGUUAUACGUUCAAGUCCAUCUUGAAUGGGGCCAUUAUACCCAUAGAGGGUGCCAGGCCCGUAGUAACUAUAACCAGUAUAAGAAGACUUUUCCAAAGAGUCGUGUUGCUUGAUAGUGCAGCGCUAAGUUGGUGGUAAACUCCAUCUAAGGCUAAAUAUAACCAUGAGACCGAUAGCGAACAAGUACCGUGAGGGAAAGUUGAAAAGUACUCUGAAUAGAGAGUUAAAUAGUACGUGAAACCGCUUAGGGGUUAAGCCCGAUGAACCUGAAUAUCUGAAAUGAGAAAUUCAAUAUUAUGUUAUAUAUAUAUUUAUUAUAUGUAUAACUAGUAUGCACUUUUCUCAUAGUAAGACAUUGCGAUCCAUUAGUAAUUUAAAUUUAUUAAACGGCCCGUAUGUACAGUUUAUUCUAUCUGUAAUGAUUUUUAAUUAUUAUAUGAGUAAAUACAUUGCGGUGUCCUAAUAAAUAGCUGAUGGAGCUUAACAAUCAUACAAACAUACAUGUAUGUAUCACAAUUUAAUAAUAAUAUAUUAUUUUAUGUAGUGAUUGUAUGUAUUUGAUUAGCAAUGCGAUAGAUUUGGGAUACCUUCGGGACCCGUCUUGAAACACGGACCAAGAAGUCUAACAUGUGUGCAAGUCAUUGGGUAUUGUGUGUUGAAACCUAAAGGCAUAAUUAAAAUAACUAUUUUAAUGGGAUUACAAGUAAUUCUUAUAUAUUAGAUUACUUCUCCAUCCCGGGGCGUUCUAUACGAACAUGAUUAAAGCAAUUUGAUCCUCUGUUCAAGAGCGUACCUUAAGCAUACAUGCUGUGACCCGAAAGAUGGUGAACUAUACCUGAUCAGGUUGAAGUCAGGGGAAACCCUGAUGGAGGACUGAAGCAGUUCUGACGUGCAAAUCGAUUGUCAGAAUUGGGUAUAGGGGCGAAAGACCAAUCGAACCAUCUAGUAGCUGGUUCCCUCCGAAGUUUCCCUCAGGAUAGCUGGUGCAAUGAUUAUUCUACAUAUAUAAUCUUAUCUGGUAAAGCGAAUGAUUAGAGGCCUUGGGGCCGAAACGACCUCAACCUAUUCUCAAACUUUAAAUGGGUAAGAACCUCAUCUUUCUUGAUCUGAAGAUAUAGAGGUUUAGAUAUAUUGUGCCCAGUGGGCCACUUUUGGUAAGCAGAACUGGCGCUGUGGGAUGAACCAAACGUGAUGUUACGGCGCCAAAAUUAAUGACUCAUAUUGAUACCAUGAAAGGCGUUGGUUGCUUAAAACAGCAGGACGGUGGACAUGGAAGUCGUAAUCCGCUAAGGAGUGUGUAACAACUCACCUGCCGAAGCAACUAGCCCUUAAAAUGGAUGGCGCUCAAGUCAUAUGCCUAUACAUCACCGCUAGAAUAGAAAAAUAUAUGAAUUUAUAUUUAUCAAAUUCUAGUGAGUAGGAGGGUACAAUGGUGUGCGCAGAAGUGUUUGGCGUGAGCCUGCAUGGAGCCGCCAUUGGCACAGAUCUUGGUGGUAGUAGCAAAUAAUCGAAUGAGAUCUUGGAGGACUGAAGUGGAGAAGGGUUUCGUGUGAACAGUGGUUGAUCACGAGUUAGUCGGUCCUAAGCUCUAUGCGAAAGCUGUUUAAUUUAUGUUAUUAUUAUAUAAUUAUAUACAUAAUUUAUAUAAGAGCGAAAGGGAAUACGGUUCCAAUUCCGUAACCUGUUGAGUAUACGUUUGUUUAUUAAAAAUGGGUCUCUAAACCACUCAUCAUGGUAACAUGAACAACCAUAGAGAAGCCUUCGAGAGAUACUGGAAGAGUUUUCUUUUCUGUUGAACAAUCGUAUCACCAUGGAAGUCUUUCACAGAGAGAUAUGGUGAAUGGAUUGGAAGAGCAUGACAUUUACUGUUGUGUCAGUAUUUUCUCCUUGGACCUUGAAAAUCUAUGGUGGGGCCACGCAAACUUCUCAACAGACCGUACCGAUAUCCGCAGCCGGUCUCCAAGGUGAAGAGUCUCUAGUCGAUAGAAUAAUGUAGGUAAGGGAAGUCGGCAAAUUAGAUCCGUAACUUCGGGAUAAGGAUUGGCUCUGAAGAUUGAGAUAAUCGGGCUUGAUUGGGAAACAAUUAUAACGGUUCAUGUGCUCGUUCUGGGUAAAUAGAAUUAAUUUAUUAAUUUUUUCCCCGGAUAGUAGAUUUCAUAGCCAAAUUGUGGAACUUUCUUGCUGUGCUGUUGAUAGAUUUUAAUCGAUUUAUUUUAACGAAAACGAUUAUCAAUAAACAAUUAAUUCAGAACUGGCACGGACCUGGGGAAUCCGACUGUCUAAUUAAAACAAAGCAUUGUGAUGGCCCUAACGGGUGUUGACACAAUGUGAUUUCUGCUCAGUGCUCUGAAUGU
rnacentral:rRNA from 1 species